CCGUGCACCGCUGGACCGUGGGAUCCCAUGGCCGGGCUGAGACAAGGGCAGCCGUGUGAGCCACCCUGUCAUGACAUAUAAUGGCCUUGUCAUCAUGCCACAACAAUGCCGGGGCUCGUGGUCCUCUUUCUCCAUGGCUACAGAAGGGAACGCGUUCCCAGGCCUCAGAGCGACAGGGAUUUGCCUACAUAGGAUUUUGCAUAAGACAAUCCCGAACCAGUCACUUCAUGGCGACGGAGGUGACACAGCGGGCAGGAGCCACGGGACCCGCAGUCGUCCUCCGUACGGCCACGCCUGGCAGCCGUAAGGUGGUUGGAGCUACACCUGCGAGGCUGAGCGCCGUCCUCAGAGAUGGGUGUAGGUCUGGAGCCCGUAACCGCUCUGCGCACAGAGGAACAGAGAGUGUACAUGCAAGCCGGGAGCAGGAGGGAGAGAGGAUCUCAAGCAGACUCUGGGCUAAGCUCGGAGCCAGACACAGGGCUCAAUCUCACCACCCCAGGAUCACACACGACCUGAAUGGAAACCAAGAGUCGGACAUUUAUCUGGCUGAGCCAGUCGGGUGCCCCAGUAAGAAAAAAUUCUUAAUUCAAGGAUCCUCGCUGAUGAAAUGACCAUUAUCUGGAAUAUUUCUGGUCUUCCUGGCUGAGGGAAAGAGACCUCUGGCAAUCAUGUUCUCUGGCGUGAAGAUGAAGGCGCCACUUCCUCUCACACCUGUCACAUGGUGUCAGCUGACCACGGAGGGACCAGGCCAUGCAGCCCUCCCGUGCGGUCGAAGAUGGAGCGGAGUUGGUGACUACUCACUUGAGUGAAAACCAUCAUAUGCAUCCCAUUUACCAUAAUUCUAAGUAUUCAGUUUUGUAGUUUAUUCUCUAAAUAAUGAGUAACAGCAUUUGG